GUGCUUGCUUCGGCAGCACAUAUAUUAAAAUUGGAAUGACACAGAGAAGAUUAGCAUGGCCCCUGCACAAGGAUGACAUACAAAUUCGUGAAGCGUUCUAUAUUUAA
rnacentral:snRNA from 1 species